rnacentral:rRNA from 1 species
GAUGAACGCUGGCGGCGUGCCUAAUACAUGCAAGUCGAGCGAACAGACGAGGAGCUUGCUCCUCUGACGUUAGCGGCGGACGGGUGAGUAACACGUGGAUAACCUACCUAUAAGACUAGGAUAACUUCGGGAAACCGGAGCUAAUACCGGAUAAUAUAUUGAACCGCAUGGUUCAAUAGUGAAAGACGGUUUUGCUGUCACUUAUAGAUGGAUCCGCGCCGCAUUAGCUAGUUGGUAAGGUAACGGCUUACCAAGGCGACGAUGCGUAGCCGACCUGAGAGGGUGAUCGGUCACACUGGAACUGAGACACGGUCCAGACUCCUACGGGAGGCAGCAGUAGGGAAUCUUCCGCAAUGGGCGAAAGCCUGACGGAGCAACGCCGCGUGAGUGAUGAAGGUCUUCGGAUCGUAAAACUCUGUUAUUAGGGAAGAACAAAUGUGUAAGUAACUAUGCACGUCUUGACGGUACCUAAUCAGAAAGCCACGGCUAACUACGUG